rnacentral:rRNA from 1 species
CCCUUAGAUGUUCUGGGCCGCACGCGCGCUACACUGACGAAUGCAACGAGCUUAUAACCUUGGCCGAAAGGUCUGGGUAAUCUCCAAAUUUCGUCGUGAUGGGGAUAGAUUAUUGCAAUUAUUAAUCUUCAACGAGGAAUGCCUAGUAAGCGCAAGUCAUCAGCUUGCGUUGAUUACGUCCCUGCCCUUUGUACACACCGCCCGUCGCUCCUACCGAUUGGAUGGUCCGGUGAAAUCUUCGGAUAGCUGGUGCGUUGGCUUGCCAGUGUACUGCUAAAAGUUGAUUAAACCUUAUCAUCUAGAGGAACAAGAAGUCGUAACA